AUGACUGGCGGCAGCCUACCAUGCAAGUCGAGCGGAUGAAAGGAGCUUGCUCCUGGAUUCAGCGGCGGACGGGUGAGUAAUGCCUAGGAAUCUGCCUGGUAGUGGGGGACAACGUUUCGAAAGGAACGCUAAUACCGCAUACGUCCUACGGGAGAAAGCAGGGGACCUUCGGGCCUUGCGCUAUCAGAUGAGCCUAGGUCGGAUUAGCUAGUUGGUGAGGUAAUGGCUCACCAAGGCGACGAUCCGUAACUGGUCUGAGAGGAUGAUCAGUCACACUGGAACUGAGACACGGUCCAGACUCCUACGGGAGGCAGCAGUGGGGAAUAUUGGACAAUGGGCGAAAGCCUGAUCCAGCCAUGCCGCGUGUGUGAAGAAGGUCUUCGGAUUGUAAAGCACUUUAAGUUGGGAGGAAGGGUUGUAGAUUAAUACUCUGCAAUUUUGACGUUGCCGACAGAAUAAGCACCGGCUAACUCUGUGCCAGCAGCCGCGGUAAU
rnacentral:rRNA from 1 species